rnacentral:sRNA from 1 species
CUCUGCCUUCCAGCCAGAUAUUGUCAUUGCAGCAGGUAAUGCCCAGCCCCGGGCAUCCUGUGCAGGUGGUGUCCUUGCAGCUCUACCCAGCUCUUGGCUCUGGGAAAAGGGAACAAUGGACGCUGUCGGGCAUGGACAUGAUGGGGCUUCCAGAAGAGUUACUCUGGGCCUCCAGGGUGACAUCAAAGGACAGGGGUGCCUCUUAAGGUGACCUUCAAGCCACAGCCCUCUUGGAGACAGGCAUACUCCCGUUACAGUCGUCGGCACAUAGCUCUGUCCCAGAGCCAUGCCCUGUGUCCUUCAGAGACCACAGGAGGAAAACAACCACUUCUGGGACGAGGACAGGGCCCUUGAGAGAAGGUGGUGUUUGGCUGGGCCACCAAAAACCCCUCGCCCCUGCCAGCACACUCAGUCCCCUCUCUGGUGGAGCAGAGCUCUGCCUGUGGUCCUGGGUCCCAGCCCUGAAAACCACAGGUCCAGCGGUGGCCAGGGACACAGGCCCACCCCUGCAAGCCAGCAGACCAAUCGGCAGACACCUGAAACACGAAGUUCACGGCAGGGUCAGGCUUUCUGUCAUUCAAAGCCCUCUAGAGAGGCCGAGAACCAGAGCUGGUUUUUUAAGGAACACCAGUGAGUCUGGAGAUUUUUUUCUUUUGCUUCGGUCUUUUGCAGCUUUCUCUACUAAGGGUUCUCCUUUUUCACCCAAGUAAUUGCCUUUCCAUCUAAUGGCCCAAAUAGUCAAAUGGCAUCUAAUAGUCUCAUAGGACCGCUGCCUCUCUGGCCUCGCCCUGCUCCUGAGGUCAGCAUGAACUGGAACUUUCCACUUGUCCCUUUCAGUAACCUGAAGCUUUCACCGUAGACAUGCUGUAUUGCCCAGAAGCCAUCGUGUCGCUGGUCGGGGUCCUGUGGAGGCUGGCUGCCUGCCAGGAGCACAAGCGGACUCCUGAGGUCUACAUGGCCUUUACCGUCCACAACCCAGAGACGUGCCAGCUGUUCACCACCAAGCUAGCUGAGCCCCCACGCCCACCCGGGCCUGCAUGGUCCCUGAGCUGUCCCUGCAGGACUCCAGUGGAAGUGAAAGAACUGGGCGCCGGGGAAAAGCUAGGAUGUCCCACACUCCCACACCAUGCAGGGAACUCGGGCACAGGCCUGCCGGGCCGGGAUCAGAUGGGAAGCGGAAGCUCAUCAUGACCAGAAACUGUUACCCUACGGAGAGCACUUGGAGAUGGCAAUGCUGAACCUCACACUGUAGGACUCACACACGACUCUAACGGGAUUGUGAGAAUCAAGUCACUCUCGUGGGAAGAAUUUUUAUAUGGGAAAGCGGCUAAAACUUUCAUUGGACUGGAAUGUUUGGAAAAUGUUAAAUUCCAAAUCAGGAACCACAAACUGCCCUCUAAUAAGACAUCAGCUAUCUA